rnacentral:rRNA from 1 species
GACGAACGCUGGCGGCGUGCCUAACACAUGCAAGUCGAACGGAGAUUUCAGCAAUGGAAUCUUAGUGGCGAACGGGUGAGUAACGCGUAGACAACCUACCUUCGAGAUGGGGACAACACUGCGAAAGUGGUGCUAAUACCGAAUGUUGUAACGAACAUGCAUAUGCUUGUUACUAAAGAUGGCCUCUAUUUAUAAGCUAUCGCUAGAAGAUGGGUCUGGGUCGGAUUAGCUAGUUGGUGAGGUAAUGGCUCACCAAGGCGACGAUCAGUAGCCGGUCUGAGAGGAUGAACGGCCACACUGGGACUGAGACACGGCCCAGACUCCUACGGGAGGCAGCAGUGGGGAAUCUUCCGCAAUGGACGAAAGUCUGACGGAGCAACGCCGCGUGAGUGAAGAAGGUUUUCGGAUCGUAAAACUCUGUUUUCAGGGACGAAUGUGCAGCUUGUAAAUAAUGAGUUGUAAUGACGGUACCUGAGUAGAAAGCCACGGCUAACUACGUGCCAGCAGCCGCAGUAAAAC